rnacentral:rRNA from 1 species
CAGUAGCCGCGGUAAUACGGAGGGUGCAAGCGUUAAUCGGAAUUACUGGGCGUAAAGCGCACGCAGGCGGUUUGUUAAGUCAGAUGUGAAAUCCCCGAGCUUAACUUGGGAACUGCAUUUGAAACUGGCAAGCUAGAGUCUUGUAGAGGGGGGUAGAAUUCCAGGUGUAGCGGUGAAAUGCGUAGAGAUCUGGAGGAAUACCGGUGGCGAAGGCGGCCCCCUGGACAAAGACUGACGCUCAGGCGCGAAAGCGUGGGGAGCAAACAGGAUUAGAUACCCCGGUAGUCCCUGUCUCUUAUAU